UUGUUGCUCAUCGGACGCCGUGCGAAGGACAGGUGAUGAAUUGAACACUCUUUAGGCGACACGUCUGCUCUUCUCGACGAAACGUUUUAUGGAGUUGGAGGCUAAGUUCCUCGAGCUUCGAUUUCGCCACACGACUGUACCGGAGGCUGUCAUGAAGACGCGGCGCAGUGACCAGUGUUUUCACUUGGAGAUGUUGCCGACCAUCAUGACUUCUCCGUGUUGUGGUCAACACUAUGGGCUCUGAACCGCAUGGACACUGGCAUCUCUGAGGCGAAAGAGCGGACCGAUGAACGCAUAGCUGUGUAACAUUGCGCUUACCAUAUCUUAGUGAUACCAGGAGCGUAACGUCUCCACAAACACUACAACAUGAAUACCAAAAUAAAGUUAGUAAAGUUCAUCUGCUAGCCAUCUGUGGGAAACCCCAAAAUACAUGGUCAAAUAAUCAUUUUCUUUUUUGAAUGGUCAUACGCAGAAUACAACACUGGCACAUGGAAUAAAUCUCCAACUGACAGGAACGUAUUUAGUCGUAUCACAUAUAUAUAUGCUGCACACACAGGCACAAUACUGUUCACUAAUGAACGACACCUCAGCACAAUCGGAACAGAAAUCACAACCGCGUACGAUCCACCUCAACCCGGGCCGUCACUGCAACACAGAGGCCUGGCUACACCUUUUACACUGCCCGCAGUCUUGUUUUAUGCAAAACUUACGAGACAAAUCAUGUAAGAACGCAAGUGAAUGUCAAACGCAAAUAAAUAGCAACAGCGUCUCA